rnacentral:rRNA from 1 species
GACGAACGCUGGCGGCGUGCCUAAUACAUGCAAGUCGAGCGGAUCUCUUCGGAGAUCAGCGGCGGACGGGUGAGUAACACGUGGGCAACCUGCCUGUAAGACUGGGAUAACUCCGGGAAACCGGGGCUAAUACCGGAUAACCCUUCGGACCUCAUGGUCCGGAGCUGAAAGACGGUUAUGCUGUCACUUACAGAUGGGCCCGCGGCGCAUUAGCUAGUUGGUGAGGUAACGGCUCACCAAGGCGACGAUGCGUAGCCGACCUGAGAGGGUGAUCGGCCACACUGGGACGGAGACACGGCCCAGACUCCUACGGGAGGCAGCAGUAGGGAAUCUUCCGCAAUGGACGAAAGUCUGACGGAGCAACGCCGCGUGAGUGAAGAAGGUUUUCGGAUCGUAAAACUCUGUUGUUAGGGAAGAACAAGUACGAGAGUAACUGCUCGUACCUUGACGGUACCUAACCAGGAAGCCACGGCUAACUACGUGCCAGCAGCCGCGGUAAAAC